rnacentral:tRNA from 1 species
UCCUCGUUGCGGGAGCGGGUGCGCCCGACGUCGGUCAGGCCGGCGACGGUCAGGACAUAGGCUGAGUUCGGCAUUCAGGCGGCGGC